GGUGCUGUGCCCGAGCGGCCUAAGGGGACGGUCUGCAAAACCGUUGGUCAUCGGUUCGAAUCCGAUCGGCACCU
rnacentral:tRNA from 1 species